rnacentral:lncRNA from 1 species
CAAGAAGAGAGUAAUAGUCCCUUCCAGGUCUUUGGAAAGGAUGACAGCAGUGAUGUAUGCCAAAUAUUUUGCAGCCAAUGUGUCUACUGAUGUUGCAUUCACUCCAGUCCAGGAUGGAAACAGGUUUUUGGCUUGUGGAUAUUUCCUCAGCCUUAUGCAUUAUUCAGACAAGAGACUCCCCAGAGGGGUUUAAAUCCAAGGUCUGAUGGCCAAGAAUUAUCUGUAUCCAAACUGAGAACACUCUGAAUGUGUGGAAUGGAGGUCUUCUACAUGUUGAAUCGUAUUUCCUGCACUGUGUCUGUACUGGCCUGCAAAAGAAGGAACAUUUUCAGGGAAAGAGGUUGUUUUCUGAAAGCUACAAAUAUUAAAGCUGUUAGACUUCCAUGAAAAGAAGAAAAAAAAGAAAAAAAAAAAAAAAGAAAAAAGAAAGUCAUUAUUUUACAGUUUCAUUGGGAAAACCCUCUCAAAUGCAAGACAGUUUCUGGAGACUGGAAAAAUCUGGAACCAGGCUUCAUUCUUGAAGGCAGAGGAGUGACAUGGUGAAUCUCAAUUCCAGGUCUGCAAGAAGUUCAGUUCAAGAUUCUGCUCCAUGCCAGGCAUAUGAACAUGGACUUUCCUUUACUCCUGAUGAGAACCUAAAACAGCUAUUACAGAGUUCCCUCACUUUUAAAUGAAUUUUAGAUCUUUGCAGCUG